GAGGAAGGAGAAGGGCAAUUGGGGGUAUGUGAAAAUGAAAGGCGAGUUGUCGAUGCGGUUGGUGUUGUUCGGCCUAGGAGAUCGGUUUCUAUGGAUGAUUCUUUUGUUGCAAAUAUCAAUAAUGCUCUUGCAAAUGUUGUAUCAAUCGAAUCGAAAAGUAAUGGUGAAUCAAGUAGAGUGAUUUUCAAUGAAGAUACUAUUUCUAAGGUUAAUGGAAAUGAGAAUUUGGCUACUACUUCCAAAGGUAGUAGUAGCUUUUCUUUUAGGCCAACAAGAUAUUUGCAGGGUGUUCCUAGUCCAAUGAAG
rnacentral:lncRNA from 1 species